CAUGGCCUAUGAAACCAAAGAGCAGCAUGCUGAACAGGAGGGGGUGCACUCCCACCACUCACUCUCUACUAAGGGCUUCACAGGAAAAAACCUUAAUGCUCCCAAAGCUUCUCCCUCUCUGCACUUUUGAACAGAGUGGAGUUCCUUCUCAGGGCCAGCUCAGAGUCCCCAGCUUUGAUGAUAAGUGGUUAGGCUGCAUGCUCAACUCCCUCGUAGCAGGGCUAGGUCCCCUGGCUACCCACAAAUUCAACAAAUUCAACACAACCCAGAGGAAGCAUUGACUGGUACCUUUUCCAUCCAUUCAUUUCAGCACUAUCCAAUAGACCUCUAUCUGCAAUGAUGGAAAUGUUCUCUAUCUGCAUAAUCCAAUAUGGUAGCCACGUCACAUGUGACUAUUAAGUCACUUGAAGUGUGGCUUCCUGAUCCCUGACUGGGCCCACCAGCAACUCACCCUGGUCAGUCAUGGUCUCGCCCCCUCCUCGGAGAGCCAGCUGCUCAUUGUCCCGGACCACAGAAGCUGCUGUCAGUCGAUGGAGUGCUUGGUCCCACGCACUUUCUCUUUCAGGGGGCGAUGGAAGCUGUGAGCCACCAUCCACAGGCCCCCAUAAUGUCUCCAGCCCAACACCCACCUCCCAGCACAUAGGCUGCUUCCCACACAGGCCCCGGAUCACCACGUGGCAGCGUGGAGCCUGGGGAGGCAGUGGUACUGGGGGAGGGGCCAACUCCCCAUUGGGAGGAACAGCUGUGAACAAGAACGGUGGUUCCAUCAACAUGUCCCAGUCCAUGGGAGCCGGGGAGAGCAGGUUUCCUGGAGAGAGACAAUGAUAGGACCAGGGGCAGUGUGGUGCCCUGGUUACCACCUCCCCAAAGCCUCCUUGGUGUCAGAACCCAGCUAGCUCCCCAUCCAACCUUUACCUGAGUCAUCCAGGCCCUGUCCAAGCUGCUGCCCUGGCUCAGGGCCUGGCCCAUCUGGUGCUACACCUAGAGAUGGGUGUCGGGGAUGGCCAGGGACUGGGUUGACCCGGCCUGGGGGUGAUGAGAGGCUUCGACCAGCCAGAGCUGCUCUGUGUCGACGGCCCAGCACCUCAGCACUCAAGGCCCCAGUCUGCACAUAAGAAGUGGGGUUCACUGGUCCAGGAAUGCAGAGCUCCUGGCCAUCAGACAUACAGACACAAAUGGUCACAUUGCCCCUUUGAAGCUCCAAAUGGCUGUUCAUCACCGUUACGUUUCUCAUGGCCCCUGGCCCCCUUCCCAGUGCCGUGUCACUCCAUGCCCUAUUUCUCACUUGAGGUUGUUGCUUGUCCUAUUUUCAUUCAUGUCUUCUCCCUUUUUACCUGGCUAACUUCUUAUUCUUCAAGAGGUGGCUCUUUCCUUCCUGACUCCCUCAGACAGGGUUAGUCACCUUGAUUCUGAAUCCUAGUAAUGCCAUGUCCCGGGCUCAUCAGUAUGUUGUACGGUAUCAUAUAGAUUUAUCCAUCUAGUUCUUCAGCUAGACUUACUAGUAACCACUGCACAAUGUAUGGCAUACAGCAGAUGGUCAAUAAACAUUUGCUGGAUACAUGGGA